UGCAGUCGACGAUGAUCCCGCUUGCUGGGGGAUUAGUGGCGAACGGGUGAGUAACACGUGAGUAACCUGCCCUUGACUCUGGGAUAAGCCUGGGAAACUGGGUCUAAUACCGGAUAUGACUCCUCAUCGCAUGGUGGGGGGUGGAAAGCUUUUGUGGUUUUGGAUGGACUCGCGGCCUAUCAGCUUGUUGGUGGGGUAAUGGCCUACCAAGGCGACGACGGGUAGCCGGCCUGAGAGGGUGACCGGCCACACUGGGACUGAGACACGGCCCAGACUCCUACGGGAGGCAGCAGUGGGGAAUAUUGCACAAUGGGCGCAAGCCUGAUGCAGCGACGCCGCGUGAGGGAUGACGGCCUUCGGGUUGUAAACCUCUUUCAGUAGGGAAGAAGCGAAAGUGACGGUACCUGCAGAAGAAGCGCCGGCUAACUACGUGCCAGCAGCCGCGGUAAUACGUAGGGCGCAAGCGUUAUCCGGAAUUAUUGGGCGUAAAGAGCUCGUAGGCGGUUUGUCGCGUCUGCUGUGAAAGACCGGGGCUCAACUCCGGUUCUGCAGUGGGUACGGGCAGACUAGAGUGCAGUAGGGGAGACUGGAAUUCCUGGUGUAGCGGUGAAAUGCGCAGAUAUCAGGAGGAACACCGAUGGCGAAGGCAGGUCUCUGGGCUGUAACUGACGCUGAGGAGCGAAAGCAUGGGGAGCGAACAGGAUUAGAUACCCUGGUAGUCCAUGCCGUAAACGUUGGGCACUAGGUGUGGGGGACAUUCCACGUUUUCCGCGCCGUAGCUAACGCAUUAAGUGCCCCGCCUGGGGAGUACGGCCGCAAGGCUAAAACUCAAAGGAAUUGACGGGGGCCCGCACAAGCGGCGGAGCAUGCGGAUUAAUUCGAUGCAACGCGAAGAACCUUACCAAGGCUUGACAUGAACCGGUAAUACCUGGAAACAGGUGCCCCGCUUGCGGUCGGUUUACAGGUGGUGCAUGGUUGUCGUCAGCUCGUGUCGUGAGAUGUUGGGUUAAGUCCCGCAACGAGCGCAACCCUCGUUCUAUGUUGCCAGCGCGUUAUGGCGGGGACUCAUAA
rnacentral:rRNA from 1 species